AACUGCUGGCAUCAUCAUGAUGAUUAUGAUGAUGAUGAUGAUGAUCCUCAUUCUCAUCAUCAUCAUCGUCAUCAUAGUCUUCAUGAUCAUCA
rnacentral:miRNA from 1 species